UAGUCCCAGCCGUAAACGAUGGGCACUAGGUGUGGGGGGACACGCCCUCCGUGCCGAAGCUAACGCAUUAAGUGCCCCGCCUGGGGAGUACGGCCGCAAGGCUAAAACUCAAAGGAAUUGACGGGGGCCCGCACAAGCAGCGGAGCAUGUGGCUUAAUUCGAAGCAACGCGAAGAACCUUACCAGCGCUUGACAUCACCGUGAAGCGGCGGGGACGCCGUGGCCGAGAGGAGCGGUGAC
rnacentral:rRNA from 1 species